GGGCGGGUGGUCUAGCUCGGUAUGAUACCUCGUUGACAUCGAGGUGGUCGCGUGUUCAAAUCACGCCUCGCCCA
rnacentral:tRNA from 3 species